rnacentral:rRNA from 1 species
UACGUAGGUGGCAAGCGUUGUCCGGAUUUACUGGGUUUAAAGGGUGCGUAGGUGGGUUGGGAAGUCAGUGGUGAAAUACUUUCGCUUAACGAAGGAACUGCCAUUGAUACUAUCAAUCUUGAAUGUAGUGGAGGUAGGCGGAAUGCGUCAUGUAGCGGUGAAAUGCUUAGAUAUGACGCAGAACACCAAUUGCGAAGGCAGCUUGCUACACUACUAUUGACACUGAGGCACGAAAGCGUGGGGAUCAAACAGG